GUCAAUAUAGUUUAAAAAACAUUAAACUGUGGCUUUAAAGAUAGAAGCUCUCAACUUCUUAUUGACC
rnacentral:tRNA from 1 species